rnacentral:tRNA from 1 species
GUCAGGAUGGCCGAGUGGUCUAAGGCGUUAGACUCAAGUUCUAAUCCUUGAAAGAGGGCGUGGGUUCAAAUCCCACUUCUGACA